rnacentral:misc_RNA from 1 species
AUCACCACGCUGGCUUUUUCUGAAGAAUGAGAAGUCUGAUGCUGUGGCAGUACUUUCAAAAAUAUAUGACACUGACCGCUUAGACGAGGAAUUAGAUUUGCUCUCUGUUGCUUCGUCAACCAUGGACAUUAAUUCUACGCAAUCUGUCAAGUACAUGGAUGUUUUUAAAUCCAAGGAAAUGAGGCUUGCAUUUUUUACAGGAGCAGGCCUUCAGGCAUUCCAGCAGUUCACCGG